GCGGACUUGGUGUAGUUGGGUAUCACGUUAGACUGAAGAUCUAAAAGUCACUGGUUCGAAUCCGGUAGUCCGCA